rnacentral:rRNA from 1 species
ACGAACGCUGGCGGCACGCUUAACACAUGCAAGUCGAACGAGAGAAGAGAAGCUUGCUUUUCUGAUCUAGUGGCGGACGGGUGAGUAACACGUGAGCAAUCUGCCUUUCAGAGGGGGAUACCGAUUGGAAACGAUCGUUAAUACCGCAUAACAUAAUUGAACCGCAUGAUUUGAUUAUCAAAGAUUUAUCGCUGAAAGAUGAGCUCGCGUCUGAUUAGCUAGUUGGUAAGGUAACGGCUUACCAAGGCGACGAUCAGUAGCCGGACUGAGAGGUUGAUCGGCCACAUUGGGACUGAGACACGGCCCAGACUCCUACGGGAGGCAGUAGUGGGGAAUAUUGCACAAUGGAGGAAACUCUGAUGCAGCGAUGCCGCGUGAGGGAAGAAGGUUUUAGGAUUGUAAACCUCUGUCUUCAGGGACGAAAAAAGACGGUACCUGAGGAGGAAGCUCCGGCUAACUACGUGCCAGCAGCCGCGGUAAUACGUAGGGAGCGAGCGUUGUCCGGAAUUACUGGGUGUAAAGGGAGCGUAGGCGGGAUCGCAAGUCAGAUGUGAAAACUAUGGGCUUAACCCAUAAACUGCAUUUGAAACUGUGGUUCUUGAGUGAAGUAGAGGUAAGCGGAAUUCCUAGUGUAGCGGUGAAAUGCGUAGAUAUUAGGAGGAACAUCAGUGGCGAAGGCGGCUUACUGGGCUUUAACUGACGCUGAGGCUCGAAAGCGUGGGGAGCAAACAGGAUUAGAUACCCUGGUAGUCCACGCCGUAAACGAUGAUUACUAGGUGUGGGGGGACUGACCCCUUCCGUGCCGCAGCAAACGCAAUAAGUAAUCCACCUGGGGAGUACGACCGCAAGGUUGAAACUCAAAGGAAUUGACGGGGGCCCGCACAAGCAGUGGAGUAUGUGGAUUAAUUCGAAGCAACGCGAAGAACCUUACCAGGUCUUGACAUCGUAUGCAUAGCUCAGAGAUGAGUGAAAUCUCUUCGGAGACAUAUAGACAGGUGGUGCAUGGUUGUCGUCAGCUCGUGUCGUGAGAUGUUGGGUUAAGUCCCGCAACGAGCGCAACCCUUACUGUUAGUUGCUACGCAAGAGCACUCUAGCAGGACUGCCGUUGACAAAACGGAGGAAGGUGGGGAUGACGUCAAAUCAUCAUGCCCCUUAUGACCUGGGCCUCACACGUACUACAAUGGCUGUCAACAGAGGGAAGCAAAGCCGCGAGGUGGAGCGAACCCCUAAAAGCAGUCUUAGUUCGGAUUGUAGGCUGCAACCCGCCUACAUGAAGUCGGAAUUGCUAGUAAUCGCAGAUCAGCAUGCUGCGGUGAAUACGUUCCCGGGCCUUGUACACACCGCCCGUCACGCCAUGGGAGUCGGUAACACCCGAAGCCUGUAGUCUAACCGCAAGGAGGACGCAGUCGAAGGUGGGAUUGAUGACUGGGGUG